rnacentral:lncRNA from 1 species
GUGGUUUGACAUAGACGUUUUUAUGGUAGAUAAAAAUAUGAUUUUAUUUUAGUAGAGUAGAUGAACCAAAAAUACAAUUGAAAAAGAAAAUACAAUUCAAGAAGAAGAGAAAGAUAUUGGGCGACCGAGAAAAUGAAAGGAGCUUAUCACGCAAGAAACCCUCAUGCGGAAGAGACACAUUCUUGAAGACAUUCCGUUCACGGUACACUGGCAAUACACAAUGACCUGAAGAACGAGCUUCAUGAUUAGUUUAUGAAUAUAUGAUUUAAACAACAAAGAAACUAGCAAAUUUGAAUGUUUGCCUUAGAGGAUUAUUGUUUCUAUUAAAUUUCUCGCAAUUUGAAUUUCCAGGCUGAUCAUCUUGUCAACAGAGCACGAGCCCGCAAAUCUGUUUUCUCAUAUGUAAACGGAAAGCCCAUCUAGAACAAGUGGACCGGACAGGAAGCCCACCUCCAGAGCAGCUUAGAGAGAGAGAGAGAGAGAGAGAGAGAAUAUCAAGACUUUUUUAAUGAAAUAUCAAGACAAAAUUCAAUCACCUCUUUUUGAAUUUAUUCGAAAAAUGAGAGAUUUGAUCAUUCAUCUAAUAUAUCUUUUUUCUUCUUAUUAUUUUAUCUAGCUAUUAUAAUUGUAAGAAUCAAAGAUUUAAACUAUUUAUUAUAAAAUUUGUG